UACGGGGGGAGCAAGCGUUGUUCGGAUUUACUGGGCGUAAAGGGCGCGUAGGCGGUCGUGACAAGUCACUUGUGAAAUCUCCGGGCUUAACUCGGAACGGUCAAGUGAUACUGUCGGACUAGAGUACAGAAGGGGCAACUGGAAUUCUCGGUGUAGCGGUGAAAUGCGUAGAUAUCGAGAAGAACACCUGCGGCGAAGGCGGGUUGCUGGGCUGACACUGACGCUGAGGCGCGAAAGCGUGGGGAGCGAACAGG
rnacentral:rRNA from 1 species